rnacentral:misc_RNA from 1 species
AAAAAACUUUCAUCUUCGGAACUCUGCAUAGAAAAUUUCCCAAAUGGUGUUCUUAGAAAAUAAUCAAACUAUAGAUUCUUAAAUAUCGCUGCCAUGAGCAAUAAGAUCUCCAAACAAACUCAAUACUCCAAAAAGUUAAUGCAAGUUCUUAAAUUUUGAAAAAAAAAAAUUCCAUAAAGACAAUGCAUCUAUAAUAUUAAGGAGAAGAAAAUAUUAAUUAAUUUCCAUCUCUGUAGCACUGAGGGUUUAACAAACGUGGAAUCCUAAAAUAGAUCAAUGAACAAUAAAUUUACACCAAGAUGCACCACUUUUCAGUCAUCUAAUGUGAUAAAACACCGAUGUUGUUGAUGUCAUUGAUGAAGAAGGAAAUGCUAAAAGGAACAAGUUUUUGGAGCAAUUCUUAAAAAACUUUAGCCAUUGUGUCAUCAUGGAUACACCAUACAUAUGUAAACAAACAAUACAUGUUCAAAUUUCGGCCUCUUGUGUAGAAAAUAUAAACUAACAAACAACUAUUCUACCAUGGAGUUCAAAUUAAAUGAUGACCACAUAUGGUAUUAGAAGACAGAGAUAGAGAGGAGGGGCCCAAGAGGGAUGAAGAAGAACAAGAUGUAGAACAAUCCACACACUAUGAUUGUGAGAAAAAAUAACAAUCAACCAGUACAGAAAGUUUAAGGAAUCAAACAGUGAGGAAAAAAGCCACUAACCAACAGUGAAGUCACAGGUAAGG